rnacentral:rRNA from 1 species
GACGAACGCUGGCGGCGUGCUUAACACAUGCAAGUCGAACGGAAAGGCCUCUUUCGGGGGGUCCUCGAGUGGCGAACGGGCGAGUAACACGUGAGUACCCUGCCCUUGACUUUGGGAUAACUUCAGAAAACGGGGGCUAAUCCCGAAUAGGAGCUCCUGCUGCCGGGUGGGGGCUGGAAAGUUUCGGCGGUUGGGGAUGUACUUGCGGCGUAUCAGCAUGUUGGUGGGGUAGUGGCUUACCAAGGCUGUGACGGUGAGCCGGCCCGCGGGGGUGACCGGACGCACUGGGACCGAGAGGCGGCCCAGACUCCUACGGGUGGCAGAAGGGGGGAAAGUUGCACCAAGGGUGGCAGCCUGGGGCAACAAGGCCGUGUGCGGGAAGACGGCCUUCGUGUUGUAAGCCGAUUUCGCGCAUGACGAAGCGUUGUGUUACGGUAGUGGGUAAAGAAGCACCGGCUAACUACGUG